GCGGGCGUGGCGGAACGGCAGACGCGCCAGACUUAGGAUCUGGUGGGGGUUCACCCGUGGAGGUUCAAGUCCUCUCGCCCGCA
rnacentral:tRNA from 1 species